GGAGGGAGCUAGCGUUAUUCGGAAUUACUGGGCGUAAAGCGUACGUAGGCGGUUAUUCAAGUCAGAGGUGAAAGCCCGGGGCUCAACCCCGGAACUGCCUUUGAAACUAGGUAGCUAGAAUCUUGGAGAGGUCAGUGGAAUUCCGAGUGUAGAGGUGAAAUUCGUAGAUAUUCGGAAGAACACCAGUGGCGAAGGCGACUGACUGGACAAGUAUUGACGCUGAGGUACGAAAGCGUGGGGAGCAAACAGGAUUAGAUACCCUGGUAGUCCACGCCGUAAACGAUGAUAACUAGCUGUUCGGGCACUUGGUGCUUGAGUGGCGCAGCUAACGCAUUAAGUUAUCCGCCUGGGGAGUACGGUCGCAAGAUUA
rnacentral:rRNA from 1 species